UAACCUUGAUGGCGACCGGCGCACGGGUGAGUAACACGUAUCCAACCUGCCGAUAACUCGGGGAUAGCCUUUCGAAAGAAAGAUUAAUACCCGAUGGUAUAAUAAAGCCGCAUGGUUUAAUUAUUAAAGAAUUUCGGUUAUCGAUGGGGAUGCGUUCCAUUAGGCAGUUGGUGAGGUAACGGCUCACCAAACCUUCGAUGGAUAGGGGUUCUGAGAGGAAGGUCCCCCACAUUGGAACUGAGACACGGUCCAA
rnacentral:rRNA from 1 species